rnacentral:rRNA from 1 species
GAGUUUGAUCAUGGCUCAGGACGAACGCUGGCGGCGUGCUUAACACAUGCAAGUCGAACGAUGAAGCCUAGCUUGCUAGGUGGAUUAGUGGCGAACGGGUGAGUAAUACGUGAGUGACCUACCUUUGACUCUGGGAUAAGCCUGGGAAACUGGGUCUAAUACCGGAUACGACCAAUCUCCGCAUGGGGUGUUGGUGGAAAGCGUUAUGGAGUGGUUUUAGAUGGGCUCACGGCCUAUCAGCUUGUUGGUGAGGUAAUGGCUUACCAAGGCGACGACGGGUAGCCGGCCUGAGAGGGUGACCGGCCACACUGGACUGAGACACGGCCCAGACUCCUACGGGAGGCAGCAGUGGGGAAUAUUGCACAAUGGGCGCAAGCCUGAUGCAGCGACGCCGCGUGAGGGAUGACGGCCUUCGGGUUGUAAACCUCUGUUAGCAUCGAAGAAGCGAAAGUGACGGUAGGUGCAGAGAAAGCGCCGGCUAACUACGUGCCAGCAGCCGCGGUAAUACGUAGGGCGCGAGCGUUGUCCGGAAUUAUUGGGCGUAAAGAGCUUGUAGGCGGUUGGUCGCGUCUGCUGUGAAAGGCUGGGGCUUAACCCUGGUUUUGCAGUGGGUACGGGCUAACUAGAGUGCAGUAGGGGAGACUGGAAUUCCUGGUGUAGCGGUGGAAUGCGCAGAUAUCAGGGGGAACACCGAUGGCGAAGGCAGGUCUCUGGGCUGUAACUGACGCUGAGAAGCGAAAGCAUGGGGAGCGAACAGGAUUAGAUACCCUGGUAGUCCAUGCCGUAAACGUUGGGCACUAGGUGUGGGGGACAUUCCACGUUUUCCGCGCCGUAGCUAACGCAUUAAGUGCCCCGCCUGGGGAGUACGGCCGCAAGGCUAAAACUCAAAGAAAUUGACGGGGGCCCGCACAAGCGGCGGAGCAUGCGGAUUAAUUCGAUGCAACGCGAAGAACCUUACCAAGGCUUGACAUAUACUGGACUGCGUCAGAGACGGCGUUUCCCUUCGGGGCUGGUAUACAGGUGGUGCAUGGUUGUCGUCAGCUCGUGUCGUGAGAUGUUGGGUUAAGUCCCGCAACGAGCGCAACCCUCGUUCUAUGUUGCCAGCACGUGAUGGUGGGGACUCAUAGGAGACUGCCGGGGUCAACUCGGAGGAAGGUGGGGAUGACGUCAAAUCAUCAUGCCCCUUAUGUCUUGGGCUUCACGCAUGCUACAAUGGCCGGUACAGAGGGUUGCGAUACUGUGAGGUGGAGCUAAUCCCUAAAAGCCGGUCUCAGUUCGGAUUGGGGUCUGCAACUCGACCCCAUGAAGUCGGAGUCGCUAGUAAUCGCAGAUCAGCAACGCUGCGGUGAAUACGUUCCCGGGCCUUGCACACACCGCCCGUC